CAAAUGCCAGUGGUAAAUUCUUGUGCCCACAACCCUUUGAGACCCAUGGAGGGCGGCACCCCUGUCGUACCUAGGCUUACCAGAGAGGAAACCAUAGGCUGGGGCUGAAAACCUGCAGACCUUUUUUUGGAAAAGGGGGCCAGCCGAGUGGCGCAUUGUUUGAGAGCUG